rnacentral:tRNA from 1 species
UCUAAUAUGGCAGACUAGUGCAUUGGAUUUAAACCCCAAAAAUAAAGUUUAAACUUUUUUUAGAA